UACGUAGGUGGCGAGCGUUGUCCGGAUUUAUUGGGUUUAAAGGGUGCGUAGGCGGCCCUAUAAGUCAGUGGUGAAAUAUCGCAGCUUAACUGUGAGGGUGCCAUUGAUACUGUAGGGCUUGAGUGAAUUUGAGGUAGGCGGAAUUGACGGUGUAGCGGUGAAAUGCUUAGAUAUCGUCAAGAACACCGAUAGUGAAGGCAGCUUACGGGGCUUAAACUGACGCUGAGGCACGAAAGUGUGGGGAUCAAACAGG
rnacentral:rRNA from 1 species